ensembl:lncRNA
CACAAAUCUACCUAACUCUAUGGGUACAACACAUAAAUCUACCUAACUCUAUGGGUACAACACAUAAAUCUACCUAACUCUAUGGGUACAACACAUAAAUCUACCUAACUCUAUGGGUACAACACAUAAAUCUACCUGUUGGGCCUGUUUCCCAGAUACAGAUUAAGCCUAAUUCUGGACAAUUUCAAUUUGUUUAACUAGGCAAGUCAGUUAAGAACAAAUUCUUAUUUACAAUGACGGCCUACCGGGAAACAGUGGGUUAACCGCCUUGUUCAAGGGCAGAACGAGAGAUUUUUACCUGGUCAACUCUGGGAUUCGAUCCAGCAACCUUUAGGUUACUAGUCCAAUGUUCUAAUCACUAGGUUACCUGCACCUAAAACACUUUUUCAAUGGAACUUCUCCUCGACAAGGACUGUGUGUCUGGGGAUCCGGUCCUAUAACUAGGACUGUGUGUCUGGGGAUCCGGCCCUAUAACUAGGACUGUGUGUCUGGGGAUCCAGUCCUAUAACUAGGACUGUGUGUCUGGGGAUCCGGCCCUAUAACUAGGACUGUGAGUCUGGGGAUCCGGCCCUAUAACUAGGACUGUGUGUCUGGGGAUCCGGUCCUAUAACUAGGACUGUGUGUCUGGGGAUCCGGUCCUAUAACUAGGACUGUGUGUCUGGGGAUCCGGUCCUAUAACUAGGACUGUGUGUCUGGGGAUCCGGUCCUAUAACUAGGACUGUGUGUCUGGGGAUCCGGUCCUAUAACUAGGACUGUGUGUCUGGGGAUCCGGUCCUAUAACUAGGACUGUGUGUCUGGGGAUCCGGUCCUAUAACUAGGACUGUGUGUCUGGGGAUCCGGUCCUAUAACUAGGACUGUGUGUCUGGGGAUCCGGCCCUAUAACUAGGACUGUGUGUCUGGGAAUCCGGCCCUAUAACUAGGACUGUGUGUCUGGGGAUCCGGUCCUAUAACUAGGACUGUGUGUCUGGGGAUCCGGCCCUAUAACUAGGACUGUGUGUCUGGGGAUCCGGUCCUAUAACUAGGACUGUGUGUCUGGGGAUCCGGCCCUAUAACUAAAAUAACAUAAUCUGGGACUCUGUGCCAUUCAUACAAACUCUGAUAAGGUUAUCGAAUGAAUCAAUAUGGUGUAAGAGUGAAUGAAUCAAUAUGGUGUACGAGUGAAUGAAUCAAUAUGGUGUACGAGUGAAUGAAUCAAUAUGGUGUAAGAGUGAAUGAAUCAAUAUGGUGUAAGAGUGAAUGAAUCAAUAUGGUGUACGAGUGAAUGAAUCAAUAUGGUGUAAGAGUGAAUGAAUCAAUAUGGUGUAUGUAAGAAUGAAUCAAUAUGGUGUAAGAGUGAAUGAAUCAAUAUGGUGUAAGAGUGAAUGAAUCAAUAUGGUGUAAGAGUGAAUGAAUCAAUAUGGUGUACGAGUGAAUGAAUCAAUAUGGUGUAUGUAAGAAUGAAUCAAUAUGGUGUAUGUAAGAAUGAAUCAAUAUGGUGUAAGAAUGAAUUGCGUUUUUUCACUUUUGGUACAGUAUGUUAUGUUGGGCUAUAUGGUCCCUACUUCGUCUAAGGGAAAUGACGAUAUUCAUUUGCCUCGAACUCUAGGACCUGGGUUAGUGUACUGUUGUUGUCUUUACACUGGUUAAUAUCAUAGAGAAAAGCCCCAACUGUCCUGGUGCAAAACAUGGCAAUGAGGUAAAGCAAUAAAAACAUCUUUCCACCACAGAUCAACAAUCAUAAGAGGGAGGGACUACUAAUCUAAUCUCACAGAGCCAGACGAGAGGCUCAGAAUCUGGUAUGAUAAGGUACAGGGCUGCCCAGCCCUCUUCCUAGAGAUCUACUGGUCCUGUAGGUUUUCAGUCCAACCCUCUUCCUGGAGAUCUACUGGUCCUGUAGGUUUUCAGUCCAACCCUCUUCCUGGAGAUCUACUGGUCCUGUAGGUUUUCAGUCCAACCCUCUUCCUGGAGAUCUACUGGUCCUGUAGGUUUUCAGUCCAACCCUCUUCCUGGAGAUCUACUGGUCCUGUAGGUUUUCAGUCCAACCCUCUUCCUGGAGAUCUACUGUCCUGUAGGUUUUCAGUCCAACCCUCUUCCUGGAGAUCUACUGUCCUGUAGGUUUUCAGUCCAACCCUCUUCCUGGAGAUCUACUGUCCUGUAGGUUUUCAGUCAAGGUCUGGUACAAUAUAUUAGAACAAACCAACUCUGUAGCAGUAAAGUCUGACAUGCGACAUUAGGAGGCGACAAGAUCUUUGAUACAGUUUGGAACAUCUACUAUGUUUUACUCCAUUGUUGAAGGUUGGGAACGAGGCUUUUCAGAACAACAACAAACUCACUGUCCACAGCACAUCUGAAACUAGACCUACACUUUGUUCAUUAUAAUGGUAAAUUGCUUGGUUCAGACAAAAGGGUGAUUAUUGGGUUACUAAAAGGCAGUAGAACAGAGAUCCUCCAUUUCAGGAGGGGAAAAAACCUACCGAGAUGUCUGUGAAUAACUUUAAAUGCAAAUGGAACCAAUUCUGGGGAUGAUUCCACCAACUAGCUGACAUAUGUUCUGUUCGAUCCCUAGUUAUGAAAAUAACAGGACACGACUUGACAGAUAUCAUCGUCGUCUACAAGCAGUGGUGGGGACAGAUAGAUGAGGAUAGAGGAGAGAGAGAGAGAGAGGGGGGACAGACAGGUCCAGCCUGGAACUGUCUGUAGUUGCCAGUCUCGCCUGUAUCCCCAUACAUCCCUGGAGUUUAGUCCACUGUCUGUUCUCUGCAGAAAUAGUGGCAGAGGUUGAGCUCUUGAUCCAUCUCUGGUCUGAACAGCUGGGCGUGACAAUUGGGAGAUGUUACCCCAAAUCUGGAUGUGUCUCACGUGAAGAGCUGCGGUCUGGACAUUUCCCCACGAAGUCUGGCACUCGUUCACUUCGCAUCUGUUUAGGGAUUUGAGUCACAAAUGAGAGAAUGACAAAGUAUGUAGCUAGUAGCUGGUAGCUAGCUACAUAUCAUUAUGAUAUGGCUGAGAAGACCUUUGUCAAAUGCUGGACAGGUUGUUGCACUGUCAGAGAUGAUCUUGUCUGGAAGCUGGAGAGGCAGCCUGUGGAUGGACAAACAUACAUACCCCAUUCAAAAUAUAGCUAGGACAUUUAUUUAUAUAUAUAAAUAUAGCUAAG